GUUCUUGAGGAUACAAUCAACCAAGGUACACUUUAAAUUAAAGCAGAUAUAUGGAUAAAACAGGAAAAAUACAAGGAUAUUCAAUAUCAACAUUUCCAUUAAGAAUUGUACUGGGGCAUCUGGCCAACAGAAUUCAGAGCCCCAGCCUGUUCAUAAAAAAAAUCAGAUGAAUUUUGUCUGCGGAACAUUCUGCAAAAAUAUCUGACCAGUAAGUAAUCCUCUAAAUAGCCACAGCCAUCAACAGCAAGGAAAGUCUGAGAAAGUGUCACAGCCAAGAGGACCCUAUAAAGACAUGAUGACUAAAUGUAACAUGGUGUCUUCCAUGGGAUCCUGAAACAGAAAAAGGACAUUAGAGCUGGGGAUUGUGGUAUGUGCCUUUAGUCCUAGCUACUCCGGAGGCUGAGGCAGGAGGAUCACCUGAGCCCAGGACUUUGAGGCCGCUGUAAGCUAUGAUCAUGCCACUGCACUCCAGCUCAGGCAACAGUGAGACCCGGUCUCAACAAACAAAAGAAAAUAAAAGAAUGGUAGACAAGGCAAUAGGUAUUUUUAAAAGUGAGAGAAACUAUCAGAGAGCUGUAGCAGAAAAGCAAGUUAAAAAUAAAGGAAACAGAAAAGGAACUGAUACAGCUGAUUUGAUACUGGAAAAAUCACCCAGGAGGCAGCGUGGACAAUGGAUUGGAGAAGGGCGAACAUUCAGUCAGAGACUUUGUGAGCUUACUGUAAAUUAGAGGGAGCAAAUUGGAGGAGAAAUGACAAAAGAAACAGAAAAAAUGUUUAAUCAGACAAAGGAACUAAAAAACCUCAGUCUUAAUUAGAAGAUGGUCAAACAAAUCUCUUAACUGAUGUUCACAAUGAUGGUUUCAAGUCAUCUAAGGAAUGGGAGAAAAUACAACUGGUGAAUUGCAAAGAUAUUAAGAAAUUUUUUUCAUGACCUCCAAAGAAUAAAAUUAUAAAACUUAUUCUUACCUUUUUGUUUCCUGUAAACGUGUGGUAUAUUCCCCUUGUCCCUCACGACAAACUUCUCUAUGAUUUCCUCAAUGGUUAAGGCCCCAAAUGAUACAUUAAAAAAUAUACAUUUGUUUUAUAUUUUCAAAGUAUUCUUAAUCUUUAAUUAGGAACUACACUGAAACUCUGUUGUCAAUGCCCCUACGAAGACUGAAAGAGAUGUGAUGGUUUUAAGACUGGUGCCUAUGGUCAAAAGAAUAUACUGACUGCUUCCAAAUGUCUAUAAAUAAAUUAUGGUUUCUUAAAGGCCCAUGAAAUGAAACUUUA
rnacentral:lncRNA from 10 species